UUCUUUCUACCUUCUCUCAUAGAUACAUAGCCCAAUUUUUAAGUUAUUCACCCCUAAAUUCUACAAAGCCCUGCCCCAUUUUAAGUGUUUUAACCCUUGAUCACUGAUACCCUGUCCGACUGACGUAGGGCCCCGUAACGUAUGUCAAGGCUCUGCCUAAAUUCGUUGGGGUUCUGUCUCGUGACGUAGGGAUAAAGUGAAAUUGAGUUACUAUACUUAGUGUGAGUGCUCUAUAUAUUUUAUUAAAUAACCCAGGAGUGAUACCCAAAAUAUAACAACCCUCCCGAAUAUUUUCUGACACCCUACACUUCCUAAAAUACACCCCGUAUGUGAAAACCAAGCCCGAAAUACAAUAUAUAAUUAAAAACAAGAAAUAGUAAGUUGAGGCGGGCCGCGUAGACCCACCCCAACCAUUCACGCGGGCCGUAUGAGGGUGUAACCGGAUUCUUUUGGUUUCUUAAGUUCAAGCAGGCCGCGUAAGGAUCCCUUAACAUUAACGCGGGCCGCGAGAGGUUGGAAAAGUGGCGCAGCCUUGGGCCGCCACGUGGCAAACACCCGUCAAGCCUACACAUCAACUCAGCAUAGCUAUACGUUGACUUUGGGUCAACGCGGGCCGCGUAAGACUUGUCCUCAUUUGAUGCGGGCCGCGAGAGAGUCCAGUAUCAGCCCUAUAAAUUGAAUCGUCGAGCCUUCAGUCUGCUUCGUUCAAAAUCAAUUCUUUCUCUCUCAAAAUUAAAUAGUGGGCAUUAUACGCGGAUAUUAUACCCCCCUAAUUAGCGAAGCUCUGCCUCGUUAUAAGUAUCAUAACCCCUGGAUACGUAUUAGAUACUCUGCCCGAUUGAUCUAGGGUUCCGUAACGGCUGUCGUGGUUCUGCCCGACGUAGUCGUUGGAAUGCCGUCUCGGGGAGGGUAUUACUAAUGUUAAAAUGGGUUAUUAUACUAACACGUGUGCAUUGUUUAUUUAAUUAGACUAUAACCAGGGAAUCACAAAGGAAAGCCCUAUAAUAGCAAUGUAACUUAGUGUGAAGCCAAUAAAAGCCAGCUGGAGAGCACUGAAGGCUUGGAAAAGUGGCUAUAAAGUUACCUAAAAUAAAAUAGCUGUUUUUAUUAAUAAAAAUAGGAUUUAUUCCUAUGAAAGCGUGUAUACUGAAAACUUGGGUUUUACCCAUGUGUUUAAUAUUAUGAAAAUGUGGUGGUUUUACUCUGAUAAAAAUAUUUCCUAACUACGGUCCUGAUGAAAAUUUCCGCUGCCAAAUUAGACAAUACACGAUACCACCGAAACUGGCUCACGGCCGCCCGUUCCUGAGGGGUCGGGGGUUGUGACAGAAGGUGGUAUCAGAGCUAUGCCACUGGUUCAAGCCAAAGAAGUGUUCUGCUGACACUUAAGUUUUAAAUUCUGUGUUAGGAAAUUAAUAUAACAAUUUAUGUGUUAUUCUGUAGUAUGAGUAACCAAUAUAACUAGACGUACCCAUAGGCUACCUCGGCAGAUGUGUUAUACUACACUCUUAUACAAUUAAUAACUUAAGGUAUCUCCUUGAGUAGGAUCUCUUCUUAAAUAAAUGAAUGUACCGUAAUAUAUAUAUAUGUGUGUGUGUGUAUACACUACUAUGUGUAUAUCAACCUUACUAAGAAAUAUUAAUACACGUUCAUUUUGUAAAAAUACUCAUAGAUCAUGAGUAUAAAUUUUAGAUAUUAAAUCUAAAAUCAUAAUUUAUGGUAAACUUACAUAAGAAAUCGAAUAACAUUAUGUAUCCACCUUAAAUAAAUAAAAGUAUUUUAUUGUAGUUGAUUCAUAGACUUCAUGAUCUAUACCAUGAUCUAUCCUUAUGAAUGGUGGUACAGAUUAUGGUAAAUUCCUGAAUUGACCUUAAAUCCAGAAGUCGUGUUAAUAUACAAUAUUAAUUGUAUGUAAAAUAAUAUACACGUUGUAGUAUAGUAUACUUCUAAUAAACAUACGUUAUAAUACACUAUAAAAAAAAAAUAAUAAUAUGGGUCUGAUGGUUUGUACAAUCGGUAUAAAAGAGAGUUAAUAGUUAAUGUUUUUUUUUUGAAGUAAAAAUAAGGGAACCUCAUUUCAACCAAAUCCCUCGGGAUACUCAGCAGAUACUGAGAAGAAAAUUUUUAUUCGUAAGGCACAGUCUGAGAAACUAUUUACCACAAAAAAAAAAAAAAAAAAAAAAGAGAAGUAGGAUUACUAGAAGAAAAAAAAAAGUCAAGAGAAAAUAAAGAAGUCACAACCAAAGGAAGUAAUAAUUCAUAAGGGAACAAAUGCACAAACUCAGGAAACAGGCAAUAACCUACAAUGGGAAGAUAAAUGGGUAAAUCUCCAUAUGUUAGCCACUACAGAAGUAAAUAUUAACUUAUAUUAAAUAGUUGAACCGCAAAACCAGUACCAGCACCCAUGCUACCUAUGAGCCAGAAAUUUUAAAAGAAAUUUUGCCCAUUAAAUAAACAA
rnacentral:lncRNA from 1 species